rnacentral:rRNA from 1 species
UACGCCCUAAACGAUCUUCUCUCGGUUUUCGGAGUAUCGACCCUCUGAGAGCCCAAGCUAACGCGUUAAGAGAAGCGCCUGGGAAGUACGGUCGCAAGACUAAAACUCAAAGGAAUAGACGGGGACUUGCACAAGCAGUGGAUUAUGUGGUUUAAUUCGACGAUAAACGAAGAACCUCACCAGGGUUUGAAACCUACGUGAAAGCUCCGAGAAACCGGAGCCCUCGCAAGACUAGUAGGCAGGUGC